rnacentral:lncRNA from 1 species
GGGAGGUGGUCGCCCUCCGUCGUGGCCUGGCGUGGAUUCCGAGCGUUGGUGUCUGGCGGUUUCCGACCGUUGGUGUCUGGCACGCGCCACCCCGAUGUACCAGGCACGGCAGGAGCGGCGGCCCAGCACUCGGCACUGGCCACUUGCAGACAAGAAGACAAGAAAAUGAUUUGAGGACAGCUUCAAUCGCGGUGUGAAGAAGAAAGCAGCAAAACGACCACUGAAAACAACGCCGGUGGCAAAACAUCCAAAGAAAGGGUCCCAAGCGGUACAUCGUCAUAGCUGGAAACAGUCAGAGCCACCAGCCAAUGAUCUUUUCAAUGCUGCGAAAGCUGCCGAAAGUGACAUGCAGAGGCGGAUUUCCCUGACUGAAGACCAUGUUGCAGGCCCACAGCUGCCUACAGGCCCUCUGGGCAACCGUCCCA